rnacentral:rRNA from 1 species
ACAGGGAUUGCCCUAGUAACGGCGAGUGAAGCGGCAACAGCUCAAAUUUGAAAUCUGGCGUCUUUGGCGUCCGAGUUGUAAUUUGCAGAGGGCGCUUUGGCAUUGGCAGCGGUCCAAGUUCCUUGGAACAGGACGUCACAGAGGGUGAGAAUCCCGUACGUGGUCGCUAGCCUUUACCGUGUAAAGCCCCUUCGACGAGUCGAGUUGUUUGGGAAUGCAGCUCUAAAUGGGAGGUAAAUUUCUUCUAAAGCUAAAUACUGGCCAGAGACCGAUAGCGCACAAGUAGAGUGAUCGAAAGAUGAAAAGCACUUUGGAAAGAGAGUUAAAAAGCACGUGAAAUUGUUGAAAGGGAAGCGCUUGCAGCCAGACUUGCCUGUAGUUGCUCAUCCGGGUUUUUACCCGGUGCACUCUUCUAUAGGCAGGCCAGCAUCAGUUUGGGCGGUUGGAUAAAGGUCUCUGUCAUGUACCUCCUUUCGGGGAGAUCUUAUAGGGGAGACGACAUGCAACCAGCCUGGACUGAGGUCCGCGCAUCUGCUAGGAUGCUGGCGUAAUGGCUGUAAGCGGCCCGUCUUGAAACACGGACCAAGGAGUCUAACAUCUAUGCGAGUGUUUGGGUGUCAAGCCCGAACGCGUAAUGAAAGUGAACGGAGGUGGGAACCUUUCGGGGUGCACCAUCGACCGAUCCUGAUGUCUUCGGAUGGAUUUGAGUAAGAGCAUAGCUGUUGGGACCCGAAAGAUGGUGAACUAUGCUUGAAUAGGGUGAAGCCAGAGGAAACUCUGGUGGAGGCUCGCAGCGGUUCUGACGUGCAAAUCGAUCGUCAAAUUUGGGCAUAGGGGCGAAAGACUAAUCGAACUAUCUAGUAGCUGGUUCCUGCCGAAGUUUCCCUCAGGAUAGCAGUAACGUUUUCAGUUUUAUGAGGUAAAGCGAAUGAUUAGAGGCAUGGGGGUUGAAACAACCUU